rnacentral:rRNA from 1 species
CCAAUAGCGUAUAUUAAAGUUGUUGCAGUUAAAAGGCUCGUAAUUGAAUUUCGGGAUUUGUCAGUUGGUCGGGCUUAACUGUCCGUAUUGACUCGAUGGAUUCUUACCUUCUGAAUAACCAGCAUGCUAUUAAGUUAGUGCGUUGGGGAAGCAGAUCUAUUACCUUGAAAAAAUUAGAGUGCUUAAAGCGAGCUAGUGCUUGAAUAGAUUAGCAUGGAAUAAUAAAAUAGGACGGAAUGGUUCUAUUUUGUUGGUUUCUAGGAUCACCGUAAUGAUUAAUAGGGAUAGUUGGGGGCAUUAGUAUUCAAUUGUCAGAGGUGAAAUUCUUGGAUUUAUUGAAGACUAACUUCUGCGAAAGCAUUUGCCAAGGAUGUUUCCAUUAAUCAAGAACGAAAGUUAGGGGAUCGAAGACGAUCAGAUACCGUCGUAGUCUUAACCAUAAACUAUGCCGACUAGGAAUCGGACGAUGUUAAUUUUUUAAUGACUCGUUCGGCACCUUACG